UACGUAGGUGGCAAGCGUUGUCCGGAAUUAUUGGGCGUAAAGCGCGCGCAGGCGGUUCUUUAAGUCUGAUGUGAAAGCCCACGGCUCAACCGUGGAGGGUCAUUGGAAACUGGAGAACUUGAGUACAGAAGAGGAAAGCGGAAUUCCACGUGUAGCGGUGAAAUGCGUAGAGAUUUGGAGGAACACCAGUGGCGAAGGCGACUUUCUGGUCUGUAACUGACACUGAGGCGCGAAAGCGUGGGGAGCGAACAGG
rnacentral:rRNA from 1 species